AAGACUGUAUGCGGUUUGAUCCUCUGGGAUGCAGACAUUAUUUAAAUAUUUACAAAGGGUAUACAACACCAAGAUCAAGUAGUAGUAACAACUUUAAGAAGUAAAAAAAACAAAAGGCAUGACCAUCAAAAUCAACAUGUAUGAUUGCAACACAGCCAACCUCACAAGGUGAAGAAGCAUACCAUGAUUUACAUUCAUGAGGUAUA
rnacentral:misc_RNA from 1 species